CAGCCUUGGCCAUGCCAAUGAUUACCCAACCUUCGGCCAAGACUGGCUAACCCAGCCUUGGCCAUUUAUUGGCGACUCAAGCUUAUGAAAGAUAAUUUA